rnacentral:lncRNA from 1 species
AUGAAUUUAUGAAAUACUUUUAUUUUGUUUUCAAAUUUUUGGAUCCGGACAUACUCGAAUCAACGCGGGUCUGAGAUGGGAAUUCGAUGACGUGGCACCAUUAGCCGGUGAUCAGUGUAGCUUAAUUACAAUAAUUACUGUUGCAAAAGUCAAGGAUGUCACAUCAAGCCACCAUUUUUCAAACCUAAACAUCCUAGGGGAGGUAACCCUCCGAGCCCAAGUAUCAAGGAUGAGCGAGGUAUGAUCACUUCCCACUCUGGGCAGA